rnacentral:rRNA from 1 species
GACGAACGCUGGCGGCGUGCCUAACACAUGCAAGUCGAGCGAAUGAAGUUCCUUCGGGAAUGGAUUUAGCGGCGGACGGGUGAGUAACACGUGGGCAACCUGCCUCAUAGAGGGGAAUAGCCUCCCGAAAGGGAGAUUAAUACCGCAUAAGAUUGUAGUACCGCAUGAUACAGCAAUUAAAGGAGCAAUCCGCUAUGAGAUGGGCCCGCGGCGCAUUAGCUAGUUGGUGAGGUAAUGGCUCACCAAGGCGACGAUGCGUAGCCGAGCUGAGAGGGUGAUCGGCCACAUUGGGACUGAGACACGGCCCAGACCCCUACGGGAGGCAGCAGUGGGGAAUAUUGCACAAUGGGGGAAACCCUGAUGCAGCAACGCCGCGUGAGUGAUGACGGCCUUCGGGUUGUAAAGCUCUGUCUUCAGGGACGAUAAUGACGGUACCUGAGGAGGAAGCCACGGCUAACUACGUG